UACUUAUUAUCUCACAGCCUGUGACAGAUCUUGGGGUAUAAUUGAAAAGAAUAUGCUAUUUCUGUUUCAAAGAUAUAUUGGUCUUGGGUGAAUGCAUCAGUUAUCUUCAGCAACACCAAUGCUGCAUAACAGACAGAGACAGAACACAAGCAGGGGAGGGGCAGAGAGAGACACACACAGAAUCUGAAGCAGGCUCCAGGCUCUGAGCUGUCAGGACAGAGCCUGUGGCACGGCUUGAACCCACGAACUGCAAGUUGGACGCUUAACGGUCUGAGCCAUUCAGGCACCCCAAAAGUUGGUGACCAGUACUGAACCAGAGUCAAGUGGACUAGUGCAAAAUGGGAAGAACUGUGUCACUGCCAAAGAACACUGAACAAAAGUCUGCUGCCUCUUUAUAGAUCAUGGUCCAAGAAGGAAGGGCUAAGAGUAGAAAGGUACAGAGUCCUGAUGGAGAAGACUGCCUCAGCCAAGGCCCCCAUAAUGAAGCCUCUGAAUGGAGGCACCUGUAUCAAAAAUGCAAAGAUACUGGGCAUGGUGGGCCCAGGGGUACCUGAGUCCUUGAUGCAACUCCCUCCAGAAAACUUCAGUGCACUGGCUGUGCACCAAGUCUGGUGUGGGGAGGGCAGUACCCCCACUAUAAGGCCUGCCUAGCUAAGCAAAGCUUUCCAAUUUCCAGUGGCCAUGCCCGAAAGAUCACACCUAGGAUUUUGGCCUAAAGCCAGACUCCUCACACCCAUGUUGUUUCACGUCUCAGGAUCUUAUUCCUCUACAUCACUGAGUAAUGUUCCAAUGUCUGAAUAUAUCUCAAUGUUGUUUAUCAAUUUUUUUGUUGGAAGGCAGUUGUAGCUGUCUCCAGUUUGGACA